rnacentral:ncRNA from 1 species
AAAUCUUCUUGAGAAGGAACUUUGAAGGCAGAACUGGAGAAGGGCAUAAACAGUAGUUGAUCAUGGAUUAGUCAUUCUGAGAUAUGGGCGAGUGCCUCCCCCUUGGCAAUGGGAUCGGGUUCAGGUCCUCAAAUCUGGAGUGUCGGAGAUGGGCGAGGUGUCCAGUGUGGUGAUGCUCGACCUAUCCCAGAGAAGCUGAUGGGAGCCCCAGGGAGAGUUCUCUUUUCUUUGUGAAGGGCAGGGCGCCCAGGAGUGGGCUUCUCGACAGAGGGGCCCCUGUCUUGGAAAGUGUCACAGUCCGGCAGUGGUCGGUGAAAAUCCAGGGGAGAGGGUGUAAAUUUCACGCUAGGCCAUACCCAGAUCCGCAGCAGGUCUCCAAGGUGAACAGGUCUCCAUCU